CUUCCUUUCCUUUAUGCCAGGCUCAAGCUGACCGCCAGAGCAUCGAACCUGGCUCCAGCAUCUCCAUAUCUUUCACCAUAUCCUCAAAGGAAACUGGGACAUUCACCAUACAAGCCAAUAACAACCGUGGCUUUGCCACUGCAUGGCCUUCCUUGGUGAGCAUCGGUGCAGAUGGUCGAGCCAAUGGCAUGGGGACCUUAACAGCUACAGAUAGCGCUGCUUCAGGAACAGAUGUUUCCCUCACUAUUGUUGCUGAGAACGCUGCUCAGACUGACAUCAACUACGUUGUGCUCAGGUUUUCAGUAGCUACCAAGGUAACUGACCUGUCUGCUCCAGUGUGCCAGGUAGUCGAAAUUUCUGAUUUUUGUCCGGCCUCUCCUCUCCUCUGUGCAUCUGUUCAGUGGGAACUUCUUGCUAAAUUCACAGAUGGAAUCAAUGGGACUGGAAUUGAAACCAUUUCUCUCCGCCAA